CAGCAGGAGGGCGGAGGAGCGGAGCGGGCGCGGCGGGCGGGGCUGGCGCGGGCCACGCCGAGGAGCUGCGGCGGGAGAUGGGGAGCGGCGGCGGCGGCGGGGGAGCAGGAGCGGGCGGCCGAGCUGGAGGAGGGCCGGCGGCAGGAGGGGGAGGCCCUGGCAGCGGCGCCAGAACAUCGCCCAGCUCGGGAGGGGUCAAACUGCAGGAGCUCAGGGCCACCGGGCUGCCCGAGAAGUACUGUGCCCAGGUGGAGAGGAGGGCGGGCAGCUGCGCCGGAGUGGAGUCCCCCGGAGCAGAGUAGGCCGGCCUGGGAAGAACCAGCUCCAGCCCCCCAUGGAUUCGCGCGUUCCGCUUCCUCGCUGACUUUUCCAAUAAGAGAUGUUUCUGGAG